AAUAAAAAAAAACACAUGAUUGUCAUCCUAUUGUGAUUUGUUAUUUCCUUUUUUCUCAUUUUCCCUCAGAUGAGCCUCUAGUGGAACAUUUGACUAAAGACUGUACAAUAUUUGGUCUGUUUGAAGCUGUGGUGAACUCAACCUUCACACAUUCUGCCCCUGUACCACAUCCUGAAGCCACACAGAUCAUGUGGGGGAUCAAUGAAGGAGAUCAGGUAGUUCCUAUAACCCGCUGCCCUUCACUCUGCACCUCCAGCAGAACCCGGAGACCCCUGUGUGAGAGAGUUCAGACAGUAGAAGAUGCUGCAUCAGGGAAAUCAUCACUGACUAUCAGUCCUGUGGAGAUCACAGACAGUUCAUGGUUAUCAUUCAUUGUGAAUGCUUCUUCAUGCUACACAUUUAAGCUUAACGUCAAAGGUUUUUCACAUCCAACACCCAGCCCUCAAACACUGCCGACCCAGCCAACAAACACUGAGGAGACUAAAGUAUUUCACUUGACUGUGUUUUUUACCCUGGCUUCACUUGGCUUUGUGUGCACCUUACUGACCCUCAUUGCAUGUACAUUAGUGUGCCGGAAAAAAAGAGAAGAAAGAGGCAUGCAACACGUUCUGUAUGAAAAUGUGGCCAUGUGAGCUGGUAAGUUGUGCUAUUAUUAUUAUUUUAUAGCAUAGUGCAGUUUAAUGUAAUAUAAUAUAAUUCUGUCAGAAUACCUUGCUUAGAGACUUAUAUAAUGUAAUAACAAUAAAAUUUUUCUCCCUACAGUUCUGAUCCA
rnacentral:lncRNA from 1 species